GAUGAACGCUAGCGGGAGGCCUAACACAUGCAAGCCGAGCGGUAUUGUUUCUUCGGAAAUGAGAGAGCGGCGUACGGGUGCGGAACACGUGUGCAACCUGCCUUUAUCUGGGGGAUAGCCUUUCGAAAGGAAGAUUAAUACUCCAUAACAUAUUGAUUGGCAUCAAUUAAUAUUGAAAGCUCCGGCGGAUAGAGAUGGGCACGCGCGAGAUUAGCUAGUUGGUGAGGUAACGGCUCACCAAGGCGAUGAUCUUUAGGGGGCCUGAGAGGGUGAUCCCCCACACUGGUACUGAGACACGGACCAGACUCCUACGGGAGGCAGCAGUGAGGAAUAUUGGUCAAUGGGUGCAAGCCUGAACCAGCCAUCCCGCGUGAAGGACGACUGCCCUAUGGGUUGUAAACUUCUUUUGUAUAGGGAUAAACCUACCCUCGUGAGGGUAGCUGAAGGUACUAUACGAAUAAGCACCGGCUAACUCCGUGCCAGCAGCCGCGGUAAUACGGAGGGUGCAAGCGUUAUCCGGAUUUAUUGGGUUUAAAGGGUCCGUAGGCGGACUUAUAAGUCAGUGGUGAAAGCCUGUCGCUUAACGAUAGAACUGCCAUUGAUACUGUAAGUCUUGAGUAUAUUUGAGGUAGCUGGAAUAAGUAGUGUAGCGGUGAAAUGCAUAGAUAUUACUUAGAACACCAAUUGCGAAGGCAGGUUACCAAGAUAUAACUGACGCUGAGGGACGAAAGCGUGGGGAGCGAACAGGAUUAGAUACCCUGGUAGUCCACGCCGUAAACGAUGCUAACUCGUUUUUGGGCUUUAGGGUUCAGAGACCAAGCGAAAGUGAUAAGUUAGCCACCUGGGGAGUACGCUCGCAAGAGUGAAACUCAAGAGAAUUGACGGGGGCCCGCACAAGCGGUGGAUUAUGUGGUUUAAUUCGAUGAUACGCGAGGAACCUUACCAAGACUUAAAUGGGAAUUGACAGCUUUAGAAAUAGAACUUUCUUCGGACAAUUUUCAAGGUGCUGCAUGGUUGUCGUCAGCUCGUGCCGUGAGGUGUUAGGUUAAGUCCUGCAACGAGCGCAACCCCUGUCACUAGUUGCCAUCAUUCAGUUGGGGACUCUAGUGAGACUGCCUACGCAAGUAGAGAGGAAGGUGGGGAUGACGUCAAAUCAUCACGGCCCUUACGUCUUGGGUCACACACGUAAUACAAUGGCCGGUACAGAGGGCAGCUACACAGCGAUGUGAUGCAAAUCUCGAAAGCCGGUCUCAGUUCGGAUUGGAGUCUGCAACUCGACUCUAUGAAGCUGGAAUCGCUAGUAAUCGCGCAUCAGCCAUGGCGCGGUGAAUAAGUUCCCGGGCCU
rnacentral:rRNA from 1 species